rnacentral:rRNA from 1 species
GACGAACGCUGGCGGCGUGCUUAACACAUGCCAGUCGAACGGAAAGGCCCUGCUUUUGUGGGGUGCUCGAGUGGCGAACGGGUGAGUAACACGUGAGUAACCUGCCCUUGACUUUGGGAUAACUUCAGGAAACUGGGGCUAAUACCGGAUAGGAGCUCCUGCUGCAUGGUGGGGGUUGGAAAGUUUCGGCGGUUGGGGAUGGACUCGCGGCUUAUCAGCUUGUUGGUGGGGUAGUGGCUUACCAAGGCUUUGACGGGUAGCCGGCCUGAGAGGGUGACCGGCCACAUUGGGACUGAGAUACGGCCCAGACUCCUACGGGAGGCAGCAGUGGGGAAUAUUGCACAAUGGGCGGAAGCCUGAUGCAGCAACGCCGCGUGCGGGAUGACGGCCUUCGGGUUGUAAACCGCUUUCACCCGUGACGAAGCGUGAGUGACGGUAAUGGGUAAAGAAGCACCGGCUAACUACGUG